ensembl:lncRNA
UACUUGCUGCUUUAUAAUAUAGUUUUAUAUCAGGUACAGCUAGGCCACCUUCAUUUGAUUUUUUUUCCAUUAAUCCCUUGAGAUCCUCGACCUUCUUUCUGUUCUUCCAUAUGAAUUUUGUUGUUAUUUUUUCUAGAUCAUUGUCUGAUUGGUAUAGCACUAAAUAAAUAGAUUAGUUUAGGGAGUAUUGUCAUCUUUAUUAUAUUCGCGAGGCCUAUCAAGAGCAUUUAAAAUUUUUCCAAUUAUUUAAAUCUGAUUUAUUUUUGUGGAAAGUUUUUUUAAUUUUGCUCCAUAAUUCUGACUUUCCUUUGGAGAUGAUUCCCAAAUAUUUUAUGCUAUCGACAGUUAUUUUGAAUGGAAUUUCUUUGUAUCUCUUGCUGUUGGAUUUUGUUGGUGAUGUAUAAAAAUGCUGAGAAUUUAUGGGGAUUUAUUUCGUACCCUGCAAAUUUGGUAAAGUUAUGAAUUAUUUCUAAUAACUUUUUAGUAGAAUCUCUGGGGUUCUCUAAGUAUACCAUCAUAUCAUCUGCAAAGAGUGAUAGUUUGGUUUCCUCAUUACCUACUCUAAUUUCUUUAAUCUCUUACUCAACUCUUAUUGCUGAGGCUAGUGUUUCUAAUACAAUAUUGAAUAAUAAUGGUGAUAGUGGGCAACCUUGCUUCACUCCAGAUCUUACUGGGAAAGGUAGUUUUUCCCCAUUGCAUAUGAUGCUUACCGAUGGUUUUAAAUAUAUGUUCCUGAAUAUUUUAAGGAAAAGUCCAUUUAUUCCUACCCUCUCAAGUGUUUUUAUUAGGAAUGGAUGUUGGGUUUUAUGAAAUGCUUUUCCUGCAUCUAUUGUGAUGAUCAUAUGGUUUUUGUUAGUUUGCUUAUUGACAUAGUCAAUUAUGCUAAUAGUUUUCCUAAUAUUGAACCAGCCCUGCAUUUCUGGUAUAAAUCCUACUUGCUCAUAGUAUAUUAUCCUGGGGAUGAUUUUCUGUAAUCUUUUUGCUAAUAUUUUAUUUAAGAUUUUAGCAUCAAUAUUCAUUAGGGAGAUUGGUCUAUAAUUUUCUUUCUCUGUUCUCAACCUACCUGGUUUAGGUGUCAGUACCAUGUCUGUGUCAUAAAAGGAAUUUAGUAGGACUCCUCCAAUCUCUAAUUUUUCAGAUAGUUUAUAUAGCAUUGGAGUUAAUUGUUCCUUAAAUGUUUGGUAGAAUUCACAUGUAAAUCCAUCUGGUCCUGGGGAUUUUUUCUUAGGAAGUUGGUUAAUAGCUUGUUCUAUUUCUUUUUCUAAAAUGGGACUGUUUAGUCUAUUUACUUCUUCCUCUGUUAAUCUGGGCAAGCUCUAUUUUUGAAGAUAUUUUUCCAUUUCAUUUAAGUUGUCGAUAAGUUGGCAUAAAGUUGGGCAAAGUAACUCCUAAUUAUUGCUCUAAUUUCCUCUUCGUUAGUGGUGAGUUCUCCCUUUUCAUUUUUAAGACUAACAAUAUGAUUUUCCUCUUUCCUUUUUAAAAUCAGAUUUACUAAGGGUUUGUCUAUUUUGUUGGUUUUUUCAUAGAAGCAACUCUUAGUUUUAUUAAUUAAUUCAAUAGUUUUU